UUGGCUUAUUUGAGAAUCAAGCUUUCACGAUAUUCUCCUUUAUGAUAUUUCCACACAUGGACCCAGGCAAACUAACUUCAGGACCCGCUCUUAGCCACCACACUAUAACACUGCCUUACUACAUAAUAAUAUAACAUUUGCACAGUGCUCUACAAUUAACAAAAUGUGCUUACAUACAUGAUCACACUUCAUCCUCACAGGAACCUCAGGGUAGAGGAACUCUUACGUUUGCAUGUUUCCAUUAUGUACUUAAUAAACCUGAGGCUCAAUGACACUGCAGUGACUUGUCCAAGGCUAUACAACCUUUAAGUAGUAGCUAGUACCUGGACUCAGAAUCACAGACUCUUUCCGCAUUCAUUCGCUGAGGCUAUUAUAACAAAGUAGCACAACCUGAAUGCUUUCCAACAGUAGACACUUAUGCUCUCACAGCCCUAUAGGUGUCCAAAAACAAAGUGUCCACACAACUGGUUCCUUCUGGGGGGCUCUGAGAGAGAAUCUCAGUCUCAUGCCCCAUUCAAGCUUCUGCUGAGGCUGGCAAUCUUGCACUUUCCUGGGCUUAUAGCUGCAUCACUUCAAUGUCUGCCUCUGUCCCCACAUGGCCUUCUCUCCCCCCAUGUGCCUCUCCUCUUCUUACAGGGGCACCAGUCAUAUUGAAUGAAGAACCCACUCUACUGGCCUGAUCUUUACUUAUUCCUUAAUUAUAUCUGCAAAGACUCUAUUUUCAAAUAAAGUCAUAUUCACAGUAGACAAUCCACAGAGAACCAUCGACUGGGCCUAAACUAUCCGUUCUUGGGAUUGUCGUCACAGCCUGCCUUGCUUUGCUAGAGCCCGGCAUCCUGGUUCUGCGUCUCUCCAUUGCAUUUUCCACAAGCAGCUGGAGCCAGGAUCCUUCAGCAAUACAGCCCUUUCCAGCCCACAUCAGGACUUCUUCCAAUGUGAGGACCUGCUGCAUUAGAAACACUCACGGUGCUUGUUAAACAAGAUGGAUUCCUGGGCUCUGGUCCAGACUCAUUCAUCAGACCCUCCAGAGAUGAGAUCUAGAAAUCUGUGUUUCUCACAGGUCCCCAGGUGUUCACAUAUGCUCUACAGUUUAAGACUCUGCGGGAGUCAUCUGAAACUAAUGAUAUACUAUAUGUUGGCUAAUUGGAUUAAAAAAAAACCUGCAGGAGUCUGCAUUUCAUUUCUGAGAAGACAUCAGGGUCUAUACCAAUGUGAGGCAUAAUUGCUGUACUGCAUUUAUGAUUUUUGUGGGACAUUUGGAUGAUGAAAAGUGUUAAGGGUUGAAUUGUGUUUCCCUCUCAAAAUUCAUACAUUGAAGUCCUAAACCCCAAGGACCUCAGAAAAUUACCUCAUUUGGAAACACGGUAGUUGCAGGUGUAAUUAAUUAAGAAGUCAUUGGGCUGGGCCUUAACCAAUAUUACUGGUGUCCUUCUAAAACGGGGAAAUUUGAACACAGGCUCACACACAGGGAGCAUGCCAUCUGGAGAUGAAAGCAGAUGAAAGCAGGUCAGGGUGAUGCUUGUUGGAAGGCCAGAGAUGGCCAGCAAAGCAGCAAACCAGCUUCUAGUAGAAGCUAGGAGGGAGGCCCGGAACAGAUGCUCCUUCGCAGCCCAAGGAAAGGAACCAAACCCUGCCUUCACCUCCACACUGGACUUCUAGCCUGCAGGACUGGGAGGCCACACAUUCCUGUUGUUUGAGCCAUGCAGUCCAUGGUAUUUGUUACAGUAGCCCUAGCAAAUGAAUAAAGGUAGCAAGGUACAAACACUACACAGUGUUUUACUACAUGCCUACUGGCCAAGUCUAUACCACUUUAUGGGAAGGAAGGGAAGUUCCUUCGGACUUAAAAGUCUCACCACUGUAA